UGACAGUACUCCUACGGGGAGGCAGCAGUGGGGGAAUAUUGCACAAUGGGCGCAAGCCUGAUGCAGCCAUGCCGCGUGUGUGAAGAAGGCCUUCGGGUUGUAAAGCACUUUCAGUCGUGAGGAAGGUAGUGUAGUUAAUAGCUGCAUUAUUUGACGUUAGCGACAGAAGAAGCACCGGCUAACUCCGUGCCAGCAGCCGCGGUAAUACGGAGGGUGCGAGCGUUAAUCGGAAUUACUGGGCGUAAAGCGCAUGCAGGUGGUUUGUUAAGUCAGAUGUGAAAGCCCGGGGCGUCAACCUCGGAAUAGCAUUUGAAACUGGCAGACUAGAGUACUGUAGAGGGGGUAGGAAUUUCAGGUGUAGCGGUGAAAUGCGUAGAGAUCUGAAGGAAUACCGGUGGCGAAGGCGGCCCCCUCGGACAGAUACUGACACUCAGAUGCGAAAGCGUGGGGAGCAAACAGGAUUAGAUACCCUGGUAG
rnacentral:rRNA from 1 species